UAGUAAUACGUCUCCAUAAAACCCAAGC
rnacentral:piRNA from 1 species